CAUAAGGACAUCAAUACGUAUCAAAAAUAUAAUAAAAAUUUGUCAUGAUUUAUGAGCCAUUUAGGGUAUUUUUAGAUUUUAGCAAGUUAUUUAUCAAUGUGGCCCCACCUUGGCAAUUUAUUAUAUCUCCAGUGAACUCUGCACUCACAUUUCAUUAUCCUUUUACAUUGUUUAGUUAACCUUACAGCUUUCUUGUUGAUACUGGUACAGCUGCUACUCUUCUCAGUUCCACUGCUUGGAAUCAUUGCCUGAAACAAAGUGGUGGUGAUCUUGGCCAAGUUCUCCUUGGAGCCAGUGUCGUCUUCAGAGGAGGAAAUGUCAUCUCCAUGCUAUUUUGUGUCAGACAAUACUUCCUAGUCUGAACUGAAAAAUUUAUCUUGUGUCAAUGGUUCUGUGAAGGAUACAGGCACCUGGCUAGUGGAAGAUAAUCUAGCAUCAUAUGGCAGAAUUAAGGCUACUGACGUGAGGGCUGUUGUAACUCAUAACUCAGUAAUUGUCAUUCAACAAAUUAACCCUACAAAAUCUGCUACUGCUACAUGUACAUGUAUAAAGGUGCUUGUAUUGCUACUAUUUCUGGUUUAUGAGUCCCGGUGGCAUCUCAAUUAUCAAGCACCUUAAGUGUAUUUGACCACAGUCAGACAAGGUGAAGUUUCUGGUCCAACUAACUCAAUAUGCUUCAUUAAUGUAAUAGAAGAAAUUAAAGGACUUCAAAUCUAAUUGUGUUAAUAAAAGUACUGUACAAAUUUGAUGACAUUUUAAUAUUUUUAAUUCAUCAUUAUUAUUGUUUGUAACAAACUAUGUACAUUUAUG